AUUGGCAUUUAGGCUGCCCUCACGGAUUUUCUCUGAUCUCAGAAACUAAGCAGGGUUGGGCCUGGUUAGCAUAUAGUUGGAAGACCAUCUGGAAAUACCAGACAAUGCAGACA
rnacentral:rRNA from 1 species